rnacentral:rRNA from 1 species
UUACACAAAUAUGAAGGCGGGCUGGAACCUCUCGGGGUUACAGCCUUGCUGAAUUAUUCACCCUUGUCUUUUGCGUACUUCUUGUUUCCUUGGUGGGUUCGCCCACCACUAGGACAAACAUAAACCUUUUGUAAUUGCAAUCAGCGUCAGUAACAAAUUAAUAAUUACAACUUUCAACAACGGAUCUCUUGGUUCUGGCAUCGAUGAAGAACGCAGCGAAAUGCGAUAAGUAGUGUGAAUUGCAGAAUUCAGUGAAUCAUCGAAUCUUUGAACGCACAUUGCGCCCUUUGGUAUUCCAAAGGGCAUGCCUGUUCGAGCGUCAUUUGUACCCUCAAGCUUUGCUUGGUGUUGGGCGUCUUGUCUCUAGCUUUGCUGGAGACUCGCCUUAAAGUAAUUGGCAGCCGGCCUACUGGUUUCGGAGCGCAGCACAAGUCGCACUCUCUAUCAGCAAAGGUCUAGCAUCCAUUAAGCCUUUUUUUCAACUUUUGACCUCGGAUCAGGUAGGGAUACCCGCUGAACUUAAGCAUAUCAAUAAGCGGAGGAAAAGAAACCAACAGGGAUUGCCCUAGUAACGGCGAGUGAAGCGGCAACAGCUCAAAUUUGAAAUCUGGCUCUUUUA